CAGGCUUACACACAAGAAUUGGAACUCGAAGUAGCACAUUUAGCGGAAGAGAAUGCUAGGCUAAGGAUGCAGCAAGAAAAGUUCCUGGCGGCUCCUGCUCAGCUUCCAAAAAAGCACAGUCUCUGCAGAACCUCAACAGCUCCAUUUUGAGAAGUAAGAACAUGCUGCAGCUAUUUCUAAUUCGAUAUUUGUUUUCCUUUUUUUUUCUCCCCAUUUGACUACGAUGACAAAUUUCCUUUAAAAGAGAGAUCCUCAUCCACAGACUUUGAGUGAGAUGUUUUGAAAUCUUACACGAUGAGGCUUCAUUUUCUGUUAGAUACAUCUCUUUCAAGCUGUCCCAAGGACGGGAGGAAAAGUUGUUUGAAUCCAGGACACUCUGUGGGCAUUUUGUUUCCUUUAUUUUUCCAUAGCAUAUAUUCCUUGGCUUUCCUUUCCUAUCUGUACUGUAUUGCUUCUUUUCUCUUCCCCAAUGAGGAUGCUUGGCUUGGACGGGGAGAGAGAGAGAUGAGGAUGCUUGGCUUGGACGGG
rnacentral:misc_RNA from 1 species